ACAUUCAGUGAAUAGAGUGCGGUUCUCUAUUCUUUUGAUAUUUUCUCUAAGUUCCCUUUAAGAGAGUGUAAUUUUGGGUUUCCAUCUCUCAAUUGUAAUGUACAUAUAAUUCUUACUAUGUCUUUGCAGUUUGCUCAACCGGAGGGGGAUGACAAGACUCUGUGUGUUGAUGAGUGGCCGUUUCUUCAAACAGAGUUUUGUGAGAAGGUGAACCAGCCAACUGCUCGGGUUGUCUCUGGACAGAGAAAACAAAAGGAGCCAACACCUUGGGGGCCAAAAGUUGUGAUGGCCCAGGCUGAUAAACCAACAGCCAAUGAGACCAGCUUCUUGGGAUGUUCAACCAAGGUAAUGACAACAAUAUAAAAAAUGAUUUCCAAAUAAGCAAUCAAUCUGUUCCAGGAUCAGUAUCUAGAAACAUUUACAUUUUUACUUCAUAAUUACAAUCAACAUAGUUUAACUGUUUUUAACAUGUUCUUGGUAAUAUCUACACACUAUGAAUUGGAAAUGUCAAGAAGGUUGGCUGAUGAACUUGUUGUGCUCAUUUUAAUUAUUUAAACUGAACUGAAAUAAAAGUUUUCUUUGUCCUUAAUUCUGUUCACCACAAUACACCAAAUGUCCCCUUUUCUAUGGCUUAUGAGUUUGCAUGUAGGGGUAAACCAAUUUUUUUUAACAUUCGUAAUGUUUGUGAUUGCAGAUGACACACAUUGAGGACCAUGAGCCGUUUGAACCAGCACCUGAGGUCACUGCGAGCAGUCAGCAGGUAUGUAAUUACUAGUGGAAAAAUU
rnacentral:lncRNA from 1 species